CUUCACCGACCCCAACCACAGCGGCUCGGCGCGGUCCUGGCCGUAGGUCGCCAGCAACGCCUGCGCCUC
rnacentral:antisense_RNA from 1 species